AUGAACAUUUAGAACCAAAUUGCUUAUAUAAUUUAGAUUAAGGAUUAAAAAAAAUUGAGAUCCUUACUCUUCACUGGGGCAGAAAAAAGAUGAAUAUUUAGAACACACAAAAAAGUAUGGCCGGAUUUACAUCAGAUAAAAUACCUUUUAUCGAUUUGGAAGAAUUACCUGGUAACGAUAAUGUAGAAGAAGUGAAACAAAAUGAAACUUCUUUUGCAAACAAUAAAAUUGACCACAAUCAAUCUAAUGAAAGCAAUAAUGACCAAAAUGUAUCAAACUCAACGUUUUCUGUGGAAGAUGCCAUUGAAGCAGUUGGUUUUGGAAAAUUUCAAACAAAAGUUUUAGCAAUGGUUGGAUUUGCUUGGAGUGCAGAUUCGUUAGAAAUGGCGUUAUUAGCUAUCCUUGCUCCUGCUAUUAGAUGUGAAUGGAAUUUAACUCAUUGGCAUGAGGCGUUUCUUACUACUAUAGUGUUUGUUGGGAUGUUUGUAGCCACUUAUUUUUGGGGUUUUGUAAGUGACAAUUUUGGGAGAAGGAAGGCAAUUAUACUUGCUAGUUUUGGAAUCUUUUCAUUUGGAAUGACCAGUUCGUUUUCUGUUAGCUACGUCAUGAUGAUUACAUUUAGAGGACUGGUUGGUGCCUCAAUGGGAGGCGUCGUGCAGGGAACAACAUUACUGGUCGAAUUUCUACCUCGAAAAACAAGAGGUCUUACUGUCAACUUAAGUUCGAUGUUUUGGUCUUUUGGAACUUCUAUUGAAAUUUUAUUAGCAAUGUUUGUUAUGCCAAGAUACGGUUGGAGAAUUCUUUUAUUCAUUUCUGCAUGGCCAUGUUUAAUAUUUGUUCUGCUGACAUUAAUAGUAAAGUAUCCUCCUGAAAGUGCACGGUUUCUUAUGGCAAAAGGACGAUCAGACGACGCAUUAAGGAUACUUAGCAAAGCUGCUGCUAAUAAUAAAAAAAAAUUGCCAGAAGGAACAUUAAAAGAGCCAGAACAAGUCAAGAAUUGCCGACAUGGAAGCAUUUUAGCCAUGUUUAGAAAAGGUUACUGGAAGUUGACUAUCUUACUUUGGAUUAUUUGGUUCUCUUCUCACUUCAACAUAUAUGGAUUAGCGUUAUUAACAACAGCACUAUUUUCUGGAAAUAAUAAAUGUUAUGGAGAUGACAAACCACAUCAAUUAAAUGACGGUUGCAAAGCACUAACUAGCGAAGAUUAUCUGCAUUUUUUUUACGUACUUGCAGCAGAUUUUCCAGCGGUUAUUAUCACAGCAUGUUUAGCUGACACCGUAGGAAGAAAAUGGCUGCAAGCUGUAGGUUUUUUUGGGAUGUCACUGUUCUUUAUGCUUCUUUUUAUUUGUACUGGAAGUCGAGCAUGGACGACAGUUUUUUUGUUUGGUGGUCGUUGCUUUAUUGCUGUUGCAGACAUAGGAGGGUAUAUAUACACGCCAGAGGUUUAUCCAACAGAAAUAAGAGGUAUGGCGUUAGGAUCGUGCUCGGGUAUAUCAAGAGUAGGGUGCAUGUUGACUCCGUUCAUAGCCCAGACAUUUUUUUAUUGUUCAUUGUAAAUGAAAAGAGCUAAUUUGUUUUAUCAUGAUCGUUGUUGCGUAACCAGAAACUCUGAUCAAACAGACAAAACACAACUAGGACCAUCUUUAAAGUUCAAUAUUGCAGAAUUAACUUCAAUUCCAAUGUUGAUUGGCUCACAAAAAUCAUUUUUUCACAAGGACAGCAUUUCCAAAUUAUUGAAUUAAGAGCCAGUUUGGUUGAUGUUCAUUUUUAAAACGAUAAUGAAGGUUCUUAGUCAUAAAGAUGUUUCUUGGACAUUAUCAAUAUAUAUAUUUUUUGGCAUCGUUGGUGCAAUAUGCUCUCUUUUGCUACCGAUAGAAACAAAAGGCAGAGGUUUAGAAGAAAUUAAUAUCGAAUUAAGAGA
rnacentral:misc_RNA from 1 species